UAGAAGAGGUGGUAGGAUCCCUACCUGCUCCUUCAUAUGAUGAGGAGAAAAGUGCCCUGGACUUGUUUUAUAUCAGUACUUGAACUUUGUAGGGUAUCAGUCACUCUAAAAAAGUAUAUUUGGCUCUCUAUUAGAAUUGAGGCAGACCUUAAGAAUCCUGCUAAGGCCUUGUUUGAUUUGGUUUCAUUUAUUUUGUUUUCUAAAAUCAUAAAAUAACUCUCUAAUGACAUAGCAAACUUUUGGCAUGGCUUGAACCAGUACAAGUAUUCCUGGCUUCCAUCCUAGAAUCCACAUUUUUUUUUUCACACCUCAUCUUAAUGAUAAUUUUCUUGGCGAAAGCUUUUCCAUGGUCCAUUAGACUCAGUCAAGUUUCAUUAUUAUAUGCUCUCAGAAUGGCAUUCUUUUUCUUCACAGAACUUUUUAUCAUCUAUUCAUUAUUCACUUAUUUGGCGAUUACGUGAUCAAUACUUGCUUCUCUCACUUGACUUUAAACGUCACGGAAUCUGGAAAUUUGUCUCUAAUCACGGUGGAGAUAAAGACCAAGCAUCACUGGAGAACACAGACAACAAAUGCACAUUAACUCAAAGAAUUGAGGAGACUCGGGAGGUCCACAAUCAAAUCAUGUAGACCAGCAAGCUGUAGACUGAGACAGAAGUUGGGAUUUGCAUCCAAAGACAGUCAGCUGGCAGAAUUCCUUGCUGUAUGGUAAAGGUAAGGAUAUCAACUGAUUGAAUGAGGCCCACCCACAUUAUG